UACAGAGGGUGCGAGCGUUGUCCGGAAUCACUGGGCGUAAAGGGCGCGUAGGCGGCUUGAUAAGGUUGCGGUGAAAGCCCGGGGCUCAACCCCGGGUCGGCCGUGGCAACUGUCGAGCUGGAGCACUGUAGAGGCAGGUGGAAUUCCGGGUGUAGCGGUGGAAUGCGUAGAGAUCCGGAAGAACACCGGUGGCGAAGGCGGCCUGCUGGGCAGUGGCUGACGCUGAGACGCGAAAGCGUGGGGAGCGAACAGGAUUGAGAACCCGGUA
rnacentral:rRNA from 1 species